GGGGCUGAUAAUGGAUUCGACAAGAUUUUCAAAAUCUAAGGUGCAUGCCAAGGUGCGGUGGGCCUUGUAAAAAACCGCAAAAAAUAGUUGCAAAAAAAGAAAAUUACGCUUUAGCGGCCUAAUAUGCUGUGUAAAGCCCUUUCUUCCUAGCUUUUGCUCUUUAGGACGGGGUUAAAAGAAAGGUCAAAGAUACUAAGAGCUCGCGUAGAUGCCUUGCUUACGGUGGACACGUUAAAUUUUUUCAGAAGCUAGUUUAUGAAGCGCGUGUCUGUCCGCACUUCAUGAGCAAAAUUAAAGAUUAGACUAAGCAUGUAGUACUGAGGACGUAGGAAUUUUGGACGCGGGUUCGACUCCCGCCAGUUCCAUGA
rnacentral:tmRNA from 1 species